UGUUAGUUCUUCGGCAACAAAGCUAGCGGCGAACGGGUGAGUAACACGUGGGCAACCUACCUCAUAGAGGGGAAUAGCCUUCCGAAAGGGAGAUUAAUACCGCAUAAGAUUGUAGCUUCGCAUGAAGUAGCAAUUAAAGGAGUAAUCCGCUAUGAGAUGGGCCCGCGGCGCAUUAGCUAGUUGGUGAGGUAACGGCUCACCAAGGCGACGAUGCGUAGCCGACCUGAGAGGGUGAUCGGCCACAUUGGGACUGAGACACGGCCCAGACUCCUACGGGAGGCAGCAGUGGGGAAUAUUGCACAAUGGGGGAAACCCUGAUGCAGCAACGCCGCGUGAGUGAUGACGGCCUUCGGGUUGUAAAGCUCUGUCUUCAGGGACGAUAAUGACGGUACCUGAGGAGGAAGCCACGGCUAACUACGUGCCAGCAGCCGCGGUAAUACGUAGGUGGCGAGCGUUGUCCGGAUUUACUGGGCGUAAAGGGAGCGUAGGCNGCCUUUUAAGUGANAUGUGAGAUACUCNGGCUCAACUUGAGUGCUGCAUUUCAAACUGGAAGUCUA
rnacentral:rRNA from 1 species